rnacentral:tRNA from 1 species
CGGGGAGUAGCGUAGCUUGGUUAGCGCGCCUGCUUUGGGAGCAGGAGGUCGUCGGUUCAAAUCCGAUCUCCCCGA